rnacentral:ncRNA from 1 species
AGACCUGAAAUCAGUCGAGGUUACCCGCUGAAUUUAAGCAUAUUACUAAGCGGAGGAUAAGAAAAUAACAAUGAUUCCCCUAGUAACGGCGAGUGAAGCGGGAAGAGCUCAAAGUGAAAAUCGUGAGUCCCU